rnacentral:rRNA from 1 species
UUGAUCCUGGCUCAGGAUGAACGCUGGCGGGGUGCUUAACACAUGCAAGUCGAGCGAUGAAGUUUCCUUCGGGAAACGGAUUAACGGCGGACGGGUGAGUAACACGUGGGUAACCUGCCUCAUAGAGUGGAAUAGCCUUCCGAAAGGAAGAUUAAUACCGCAUAAUGUUGAAAGAUGGCAUCAUCAUUUAACCAAAGGAGCAAUCCGCUAUGAGAUGGACCCGCGGCGCAUUAGCUAGUUGGUGGGGUAACGGCCUACCAAGGCGACCAUGCGUAGCCGACCUGAAAGGGUGAUCGGCCACAUUGGGACUGAGACACGGCCCAGACUCCUACAGGAGGCAGCCGUGGGGAAUAUUGCACAAUGGGGGAAACCCUGAUGCAGCAACGCCGCGUGAGUGAUGAAGGUUUUCGGAUCGAAAAGCUCUGUCUUUGGGGAAGAUAAUGACGGUACCCAAAGAAGAAGCCACGGCUAACUACAUGCCACCAGCCGCGGUAAUACGUAGGUGGCGAGCGUUAUCCGGAUUUACUGGGCGUAAAGGGAGCGUACGCGGAUGAUUAAGUGGGAUGUGAAAUACCCGGGCUCAACUUGGGUGCUGCAUUCCCAACUGGUUAUCUAGAGUGCAAGAGAGGAGAGUGGAAUUCCUAGUGUAGCGGUGAAAUGCGUAGAGAUUAGGAAGAACACCAGUGGCGAAGGCGACUCUCCUGACUGUAACUGACGCUGAGGCUCGAAAGCUGUGGGGAGCAAAACAGGAUUAGAUACCCUGGUAGUUCCACGCCAUACACGAUGAAUCCUAGGUGUUGGGGAGCAAAGCUCUUUCCGUCCCCCGCCAAACGCAAUUAAAGUAUUGCCACCCGGGGAGGGGAGUUCGCAAGAAUGGAACUCAAACGAAUGAACGGGGAACCCGCACAAGCCGAUGGAGCAUGUGGUUUAAUUAAAUGCAACGCGAAGAACCUUACCAAGUCUUGACAUCCCUCUGACAGACUCUUAACCGAGUCUUUCCUUCGCGACAGAGGAGACAGGUGGCGCAUGGUUGUCGUCAGCUCGUGUCGUGAGAUGUGGGAGUUAAGUCCCGCAACGAGCGCAACCCCUAUCCCCAGUAGCCAGCGGUUCGACCGGGCACUCUGAGGAGACUGCCAGGGACAACCUGGAGGAAGGCGGGGAUGACGUCAAAUCAUCAUGCCCCUUAUGAUUUGGGCUACACACGUGCUACAAUGGCGUAAACAAAGGGAAGCGAGCCUGCGAAGGUAAGCAAAUCCCAAAAAUAACGUCCCAGUUCGGACUGUAGUCUGCAACCCGACUACACGAAGCUGGAAUCGCUAGUAAUCGCGAAUCAGAAUGUCGCGGUGAAUACGUUCCCGGGUCUUGCACUCACCGCCCGUCA